CUGACUCUUUGCAACCCCAUGGACCAUACAGUCCAUGGAAUUCUCCAGGUCAGAAUAUUGGAAUGGGUAGCCUUUCCCUUCUGCAGGGGCUCUUGGAUUCUUUGCCAGCUGAGCCACAAGGGAAGCCCAAGAAUACUGGAGUAGGUAGCCUAUCCCUUCUCCAGCGGAUCUUCACGACCAAGGAAUCCAACCGGAGCCCCCUGCAUUGCAGGCUGAUAAGCAAACAAAGAAAGUUUAAGUAAAUAGUGAUAUCCUUAAUACAAAACUCAUCAAAAGGAAAAAGCACUGUGGAUUCCCAAGAAAAGAGGAUGGAAACAACAGAGAGACCAGUUCUGUUAAUGUGCCCAAUGCAUUGGCAACAAAUCCGAGAUAAAUGCUUGUAUUUUGUUGAAGCUUCCA
ensembl:lncRNA